UUUUGCAGUAUGUUCCUGUAU
rnacentral:miRNA from 1 species